CAGGGAGGCCUGGAGAUGCGUGGGGCAAUCUAAGCUAGGACUUGCGUGAUGGAUAAAGAGGUCACGAGAAUACAGUUUCACUCUCUACACCGAGAAUACUGUCCCUGCAUUUUCUGAAUAUGACUUAAGUAGCAAUGUCUUUGAUAUUGCCUGGACUAAAGAAUGGAUAAAUUCUCCAGUUCAGAAAUUGAAACACAGAGAGCAGAGUGGUUUGCUACAAUGAGUGGCAGUCCUGAUUCCGGAAUGCACAUCUCCAGACUGCCACUGGAGUGCCUUUCCCCCAUGACUCUGUGUCUCCCAGAAGCCAAA
rnacentral:lncRNA from 1 species